CCUACGGGAGGCAGCAGUGGGGGAUAUUGGACAAUGGGGGGAACCCUGAUCCAGCGACGCCGCGUGAGUGAAGAAGGAUUUCGGUAUGUAAAGCUCUGUCAGCAGGGAAGAAAGCAAUGACGGUACCUGACCAAGAAGCCCCGGCUAACUACGUGCCAGCAGCCGCGGUAAUACGUAGGGGGCAAGCGUUAUCCGGAAUUACUGGGUGUAAAGGGAGCGUAGACGGCUGUGGAAGGCUGGAGUGAAAGGCGGGGGCCCAACCCCCGGACGGCUCUGGAAACUGUAUGGCGGGAGUGCAGGAGAGGUAAGCGGAAUUCCUAGUGUAGCCGUUAAAUUCCUAGAUAUUAGG
rnacentral:rRNA from 1 species